CAGCCAAAAUCAGAAAUCUUCGCU
rnacentral:siRNA from 1 species